rnacentral:rRNA from 1 species
GACGAACGCUGGCGGCGUGCUUAACACAUGCAAGUCGAACGGAAAGGCCCUGCUUCUGUGGGGUACUCGAGUGGCGAACGGGUGAGUAACCCGUGAGUAACCUGCCAUCGACUUUGGGAUAACUUCAGGAAACCGGGGCCAAUACCGGAUAGGAGCUCCUGCUGCUUGGUGGGGGUUGGCAAGUUUUGGCGGUUGGGGAUGGACUCGCGGCUUAUCAGCUUGUUGGUGGGGUCGUGGCUUACCAAGGCUUUGACGGGUAGCCGGCCUGAUAGGGUGACCGGCCACAUUGGGACUGGGAUACGGCCCAGACUCCUACGGGAGGCAGCAGUGGGGAAUAUUGCACAAUGGGCGGAAGCCUGAUGCAGCAACGCCGCGUGCGGGAUGACGACCUUCGGGUUGUAAACCGCUUUCGCCUGUGACGAAGCGUGAGUGACGGUAAUGGGUAGAGAAGCACCGGCUAACUACGUG